ACUGUUGAUCUGGUUCUUACUACUCAUCCUACUCAAUCAAUUCGUAGAUCUUUGCAUCAAAAGCACGCAAGGAUAAGGAAUUCUGUCUAAAUUUUAUGCCAAAGACAUAACUCCUGAUGAUAAGCAGGAGCUUGAUGAUGCCUUGCUAAGGGAGGUAAGUAU